GCAGUCGUGGCCGAGUGGUUAGGGCGAUGGACUAGCUAGAAAUCCAUUGAGGUCUCCCCGCAGAGGUUCGAAUCCUGUCGACUCCG
rfam:Ixodes scapularis strain Wikel colony gcontig_1108379774506, whole genome shotgun sequence.